ACUGCUCAGUAACACGUGGAUAACAUGCCCUAAGGUGGGGGAUAAUCUCGGGAAACUGAGGGUAAUACCCCAUAGAUCUAGAACGCUGGAAUGCCUCUAGGUCGAAAACUCCGGUGCCUUAGGAUUGGUCUGCGGUCUAUCAGGCAGUAGUGGGUGUAACGGACCCACUAGCCCGUGACGGAUAUGGGCCUUGAGAGAGGGUGCCCAGAGAUGGACUCUGAGACAUGAGUCCAGGCCCUACGGGGCGCAGCAGUCGCGAAAACUUCGCAAUGGGGGAAACCCCGACGAGGGAAUUCCAAGUGCUAGCACUUUGUGUUAGCUGUUCUUCUGUCUAAAAAACAGGAGAAGUAAGGGGCGGGUAAGACGGGUGCCAGCCGCCGCGGUAAUACCCGCGCCCCGAGUGGUGGUCGAUAUUAUAGAGCCUAAAACGUCCGUAGCCGGUCUUCUAAAUCCUUGGGUAAAUCGGGCAGCUUAACUGUCCGAAUUCCGGGGAGACUGGGAGACUUGGGACCGGGAGAGGUCAGAGGUACUUCUGGGGUAGGGGUAAAAUCCUGUAAUCCUGGAAGGACCACCGGUGGCGAAGGCGUCUGACUAGAACGGAUCCGACGGUGAGGGACGAAGCCCUGGGGCGCAAACGGGAUUAGAUACCCCGGUAGUCCUGGGUGUAAACGCUGCGGGCUUGGUGUUGGGGGUCCUUAGUGGGCGCCCAGUGCCGGAGAGAAGUUGUUAAGCCUGCUGCUUGGGGAGUAUGUCCGCAAGGAUGAAACUUAAAGGAAUUGGCGGGGGAGCAC
rnacentral:rRNA from 1 species